UAUGCUCGGGAUCGCCCUCCGUCAGCGCGUUGCGCCCACGGGGGCAUCCGUC
rnacentral:sRNA from 1 species